rnacentral:rRNA from 1 species
CAACCGGGGGAUUGCCUUAGUACGGCGAGUAGAGCGGCAAAAGCUCAAAUUUGAAAUCUGGCACCUUCGGUGUCCGAGUUGUAAUUUGAAGAAGGUAACUUUGGAGUUGGCUCUUGUCUAUGUUCCUUGGAACAGGACGUCACAGAGGGUGAGAAUCCCGUGCGAUGAGAUGCCCAAUUCUAUGUAAAGUGCUUUCGAAGAGUCGAGUUGUUUGGGAAUGCAGCUCUAAGUGGGUGGUAAAUUCCAUCUAAAGCUAAAUAUUGGCGAGAGACCGAUAGCGAACAAGUACAGUGAUGGAAAGAUGAAAAGAACUUUGAAAAGAGAGUGAAAAAGUACGUGAAAUUGUUGAAAGGGAAGGGCUUGAGAUCAGACUUGGUAUUUUGCGAUCCUUUCCUUCUUGGUUGGGUUCCUCGCAGCUUACUGGGCCAGCAUCGGUUUGGAUGGUAGGAUAAUGACUAAGGAAUGUGGCUCUACUUCCGUGGAGUGUUAUAGCCUUGGUUGAUACUGCCUGUCUAGACCGAGGACUGCGUCUUUUGACUAAGAUGUGUGGCAUAAUGAUCUUAAGCCACCCCUCUUGAAACACGGACCAAAAAAAA